UACGAAGGGGGCUAGCGUUGUUCGGAUUUACUGGGCGUAAAGCGCACGUAGGCGGAUUGUUAAGUCAGGGGUGAAAUCCCGGAGCUCAACUCCGGAACUGCCUUUGAUACUGGCAAUCUUGAGGCUGGAAGAGGUUGGUAGAAUUCCCAGUGUAGAGGUGAAAUUCGUAGAUAUUGGGAAGAAUACCAGUGGCGAAGGCGGCCAACUGGUCCAGAUCCGACGCUGAGGUGCGAAAGCGUGGGGAGCAAACAGG
rnacentral:rRNA from 1 species